rnacentral:rRNA from 1 species
GUGAAAUUGUUGAAAGGGAAACGAUUAAAGUCAGUCGUACCUACGAGUAAUCAACCUACUCGAGUGCGAUUUUGUGGGUAUGUUAGAGUUUAAACCUUCAUGCUUACAAAUUGGUGCUCUUUGGGCGUACUUUCUCGUAUGGUAGGUUAACAUCAAUUUCGGUCGUUAUAAAAUGAGUGGAGGAAUGUAGCUUCGACCUCGGUUGAAGUGUUAUAGACUCUGGUAGAUGUGAUGACCGGGAUUGAGGAUUGCAACGGAUACCCUCUUGGCUACCCGCCUGAUCUCUGAUGGUUGCUCUGGUACCGAAAGCGUGCUUACGGUCAUCAAAGUUGAUUGUCAAAAGGUUAGAACGGGUUAAAUUCGUUAAGGAUGUUGACGUAAUGGCUUUAAACGAC